CCCUUAGAUGUCCUGGGCUGCACGCGCGCUACACUGAUGUGUCCAGUAAGCACCUAACCUCUUCCGAAAGGAACGGGUAACCUUUGCAAAGCACAUCGUGAUGGGGAUAGAUUAUUGCAAUUAUUAGUCUUGAACGAGGAAUUCCUAGUAAGCACAAGUCAUCAGCUUGUGUUGAUUACGUCCCUGCCCUUUGUACACACCGCCCGUCGCUCCUACCGAUUGAAUGUUCCGGUGAGCUCUUCGGACUGCGCGAUCUGCAGUUUCUGCGUUCCGUGCGGAAAGUUGCGCAAACCUUAACAUUUAGAGGAAGGAGAAGUCGUAACA
rnacentral:rRNA from 1 species